GACGAACGCUGGCGGCGUGCUUAACACAUGCAAGUCGAACGGACAGGCCCUGCUUUUGUGGGGUGCUCGAUUGGCGAACGGGUGAGUAACACGUGAGUAACCUGCCCUUGACUUUGGGAUAACUUCAGGAAACUGGGGCUAAUACCGGAUAGGAUCUCCUGCUGCAUGGUGUGGGUUGGAAAGUUUCGGCGGUUGGGGCUGGACUCGCGGCUUAUCGGCUUGAUGGUGGGGUAGUGGCUUACCAAGCCUUUGACGGGUAGCCGGCCUGAGAGGGUGGACGGGCACAUUGGGCCUGAGAUAGGGCCCAGAAUCCUACGGGAGGCAGUAGUGGGGAAUAUUGCACAAUGGGCGGAAGCCUGAUGCAGCAACGCCGCGUGCGGGAUAACGGCCUUCGGGUUGUAAACCGCUUUCGACUGUGACGAAGCGUGAGUGACGGUAAUGGGUAAAGAAGCACCGGCUAACUACGUG
rnacentral:rRNA from 1 species